rnacentral:rRNA from 1 species
AUCCUGGCUCAGAUUGAACGCUGGCGGCAGGCCUAACACAUGCAAGUCGAACGGUAGCACAGAGAGCUUGCUCUCGGGUGACGAGUGGCGGACGGGUGAGUAAUGUCUGGGAAACUGCCUGAUGGAGGGGGAUAACUACUGGAAACGGUAGCUAAUACCGCAUAACGUCGCAAGACCAAAGAGGGGGACCUUCGGGCCUCUUGCCAUCAGAUGUGCCCAGAUGGGAGUUAGCUAGUAGGUGGGGUAACGGCUCACCUAGGCGACGAUCCCUAGCUGGUCUGAGAGGAUGACCAGCCACACUGGAACUGAGACACGGUCCAGACUCCUACGGGAGGCAGCAGUGGGGAAUAUUGCACAAUGGGCGCAAGCCUGAUGCAGCCAUGCCGCGUGUAUGAAGAAGGCCUUCGGGUUGUAAAGUACUUUCAGCGGGGAGGAAAGCAACACGGUUAAUAACCGUGUUGAUUGAC